rnacentral:rRNA from 1 species
AUUGAACGCUGGCGGCAGGCCUAACACAUGCAAGUCGAGCGGAUGAAGGGAGCUUGCUCCUGGAUUCAGCGGCGGACGGGUGAGUAAUGCCUAGGAAUCUGCCUGGUAGUGGGGGAUAACGUCCGGAAACGGGCGCUAAUACCGCAUACGUCCUGAGGGAGAAAGUGGGGGAUCUUCGGACCUCACGCUAUCAGAUGAGCCUAGGUCGGAUUAGCUAGUUGGUGGGGUAAAGGCCUACCAAGGCGACGAUCCGUAACUGGUCUGAGAGGAUAAUCAGUCACACUGGAACUGAGACACGGUCCAGACUCCUACGGGAGGCAGCAGUGGGGAAUAUUGGACAAUGGGCGAAAGCCUGAUCCAGCCAUGCCGCGUGUGUGAAGAAGGUCUUCGGAUUGUAAAGCACUUUAAGUUGGGAGGAAGGGCAGUAAGUUAAUACCUUGCUGUUUUGACGUUACCAACAGAAUAAGCACCGGCUAACUUCGUGCCAGCAGCCGCGGUAAUACGAAGGGUGCAAGCGUUAAUCGGAAUUACUGGGCGUAAAGCGCGCGUAGGUGGUUCAGCAAGUUGGAUGUGAAAUCCCCGGGCUCAACCUGGGAACUGCAUCCAAAACUACUGAGCUAGAGUACGGUAGAGGGUGGUGGAAUUUCCUGUGUAGCGGUGAAAUGCGUAGAUAUAGGAAGGAACACCAGUGGCGAAGGCGACCACCUGGACUGAUACUGACACUGAGGUGCGAAAGCGUGGGGAGCAAACAGGAUUAGAUACCCUGGUAGUCCACGCCGUAAACGAUGUCGACUAGCCGUUGGGAUCCUUGAGAUCUUAGUGGCGCAGCUAACGCGAUAAGUCGACCGCCUGGGGAGUACGGCCGCAAGGUUA